UGUCGCUCACAUAAAGUAGUGCACUUAAAAAAGCCAUAAUAUAUAUAUGUAUAAUCACAGAAUAUAACAAUUUUUUAUGUUAAUAUAUAAUUGCUUUAAAUAUUUCCAUCAUUAAUUAAACUGAAUCAUAACCAUUACGCGUUUUUAUGUCCAUCUUAUUUAGUUCAACAGUUCGUUUCGAGAUGUCGGAUGUAUCAGAUUCUUUGCUUGAGAGGAAGUUUUGCAAAAAUGUUAGCAGAAAAAUUUUGAAUAGUGAAGUGCGACAAAUAAUCGUUAAUGCUUAUGAAAAACUACAAGAAAAUAAUCCAACUAUUAAUUUAAAGGUUAUUGAACUCACUUUGCAUUUCACUUCACAAUAUUGAAUACAGUCUUCAUAUGCUUGUGCACGUGUAGAUGGACUUUCCCACCCACAUAUUUUUCCCCAGUCAGCACUCAUUUAGAGAGCAUGAAUACAAAUUUCAGAGAAACGGUUUGUUUACAUCAGAGUUUUUCUUAGCUGAGAAAGACUAUAGAACGGGUGGCCAACACGUCGACCGCGGUCGACCGCAAAGGUUUUGAAAGUAGCCCGCGAAGCUAAAGUUGAACAACUUGC
rnacentral:lncRNA from 1 species